CCUCCUCCUGAUCGAAGCCCGUGUUCCGGCAGUACAACUGCUCCAAUAGGAAUCCAUGGGUACCCGAUCCAGAUUUCACAGGGACUUCGGUGCCGUAAAAGGAAGCCGUCGACCAGAUUCUCGGUUAAUCCCAUCGCACUCCCGAUCCAGCACCUUCUCCGUGCGCUGCUCUCGAUCCCCUUCUCCCUGUGCUGCUUGAUGGGUAGCCGUGCUGGACGGUGUGGAGGCGUCGAGGCGUCGCUAUCCUGCAAAUCUAUGGCGGAUCAAGUUCCCCUAUGGACGUCGCAUGUGAGGCUCGGCCUUGCCCGAUGCACUCGCGGCUAAGUCUAGGUCGAGUGAGGCGCGGGGGAGGCAGGAGGGGCGCCGACCGGACGGCUGAAUACGGUGCUCAGUGCUAGGGGUUACAGCUGAUCACAGGUGCAGCGCCUUCAGCGGCCGGCACCCAGCUCUGGGGCGCUCGAUCCGGUGGUGCGUUCACGUGCCGUGUGAUUUCCCCCUGUAACUUCGGUCGCCUUCCAUCUCCAGGGACAAUGGCAAGCUCCGUCCGGCCGACGGCAAGGUACCCAGGAGAAGCGGAUGGCUGACGUGUAGACCACAGCAAACGAUCAGGUUUAUGAAAUAAUAGAUAAUGUUGUCGUUGAAGCUCAAGCAAGCUAUGCUACUGAGAUAAUGUCUUCAUGAUGACAAUUCAGUUAGUGUCACUGACAACGUCCAGGGGUUAUGCAGUUCCUAAAACCAUGGAAAACUUCCUGAACGUUCAAUGCUUCUGCAAGUAUUGUGAAUAAUCUAACUGAAUGAGUUCAGUUUUGUGCUGCUGCAUAGUGUCGAACAUCCUGAGCAUGGUGAUUUCGGGGCCUAUGGCAUGGUAGAUGUGUGGGCCCGUGGCUGCGAGCUCGGCCAUUGACGCCCUCGAGCACUGACAGCGACGCCUCUCCUCGGGCAGAGUUCUAUGCAUGAGUACAACGCCAUGACAAUUCUCAGAGUCAUUGACCCGUUGAGCAUUACUGUUUCUGUUUGUAUUUUUGUUUUUAUGACGUCUAAAAUCUAGAUGAUCCAAUGUACCAUGGUCGUCAAUUAGUGCUCACUCACACAUCGCACAUGUGCAAAACCAAAUUGGCUGUUCAUUGGAGAGUCAUACGAAAUCUGAAGAAAUCCAGUCUUCAUGUGUAUCUCCCGUUAUAUCUCCACUCUGUUCUUGUCUGCUCUGUUUUAAGGAAGAAAGUUGAUUGGCGGCCAUUUCCAGUAUGCAGAUGGGAUGGCAACGACUAUUCCUUGAUUGAAGGAUGCAAUGCAUCUCGCUGAAUCCCAAGCUGUACAAUUUUGGUUCUGCCUAGAUACCUAGGCAGGGGAGAUCAAAUCUGCAAGUUGGGUAGAAAGCUAGGCAUGAUUCUCGGUCUAGGCGAGGUGCAGCGACAUGGAGCUGCUUGGCGAAACAAGUUCAGAGUGGUGCCUUGGAACAUCAAUCCAUGAUAAUGUCGUCAGGUCUUCGAAGUUUCAAAUGGCAUUUUAAAAAUUCUUCUCUCAUCCUGGAGUAUGUUCACCGACGAAUCUCACACAGGACCUCAUCAUCAAUGCGGUGCAUAUGUGGUUAGCAGGAAAAAAACUAAAAGUGCCUUCCUCCAGGCCAUGACCCCUGCAUGUUGCAUGUCCCUUAUGUCUAUACUAAUGGCCAUGGGGGUCAUUCAGUGCGGUACAUAAGAUACAAUAAUCUUUCACAUCAAGUCUUGCACAAAAAAAAUCAAGGCAGCAGUUCUAUGUUUAUGUUGUGCUUGAUUUCCAUUUUUUUUGCAUUCCGGUUUUGUUUCUUUUUGAAUAAAAAUGUUACUCCAAAGAAUAUUUCAGAGUGUCUCUUAUAGGAAACCAAGACGUGAUAGGGCCGUCACAUUUUUGGUUUUCCAAAUGGCCUUUUAAAAGUCCUUAUCUCAUUCUAGCCUAUGUUCGUGCGAUGGAUCUCACGCACAACCUCAUUAGCGAUUUUUGCAUAAGCUUGGAACCAAUCAAGAAUUGCAUCAACUAGAUG